rnacentral:rRNA from 1 species
ACCCAGACUCCUACGGGAGGCAGCAGUGGGGAAUAUUGCACAAUGGGGGAAACCCUGAUGCAGCAACGCCGCGUGAAGGAAGACGGUUUUCGGAUUGUAAACUUCUGUUCUUAGUGAAGAAGAAUGACGGUAGCUAAGGAGCAAGCCACGGCUAACUACGUGCCAGCAGCCGCGGUAAUACGUAGGUGGCAAGCGUUGUCCGGAAUUACUGGGUGUAAAGGGAGCGCAGGCGGCGCGUUAAGCCUGGUGUGAAAGCCCGCGGCCCAACCGCGGGACUGCAUUGGGAACUGGCGCGCUGGAGUGCCGGAGGGGUAGGCGGAAUUCCUGGUGUAGCGGUGAAAUGCGUAGAUAUCAGGAGGAACACCGGCGGCGAAGGCGGCCUGCUGGACCGUGACUGACGUUGAGGCUCGAGAGCGUGGGGAGCAAACAGGAUUAGAUACCCGUGUA